UAAAGUAACUAGAGCUUUGACGUCAAAAUAAAAAAAAAUAAUUAAGAAAUUAAUAAUGAGAGCUUCUAAUUGGUUAAAACAAAAAGACAAGGAUUACACUAUCUACCGUUGAUUGAUUAAAUCUAAGGGACAUAAUCUCUCAUUCUUUUUCUCCUCUUCUCCUUUUUCUCUCCUUCGUCUCAUCUGCCGCCUCAUCUUCUCCUAUCGUUCAACAUCCUCCUCGUCUCCUCUCCUUCUAUUUUGUCUCAUCCGCCGUUCUAUAUACACAAAUUCGAUCUAUGUCAUUAAAACCCUAUUAAUUGUGAAUAGAUGGGAUAUAGUUAUGAGGUUGUGACGAACAAGAGAGAAUUCGCCGAUCGAUUUUGCUGGGCAAGAAGUCCUCCGUUGUGGUCUCUGUGGCUGGCUAGGCCGAUGAAGAUUUUGACCGCCGCCGUCUUAUGUUGCAGCUAGUGGAGAACGAGGCGAGUGGAGAACGAGGCGAGUGGAGAACGAGUUUUAUGUAAUCUGCAUGCCAAAUUUACACCAAGAGCCAUCGUGAAAUUGAAUUCACACCAAGAGUCAUCACCAAGAAGAAGAGACCAUGAACGAGUUCCGGGAGAUCUCAUAUGGACGAUAAACGAGAUCUAGGUGACUCAUAAUUAUGUGAAAAAACAAUGUUUUAUUUUUGUUUUUUAAUCACUUUUGUCCUUAGAAAUUAAUACAUUGUGUAAUAUUUUUAAAAAAUUGCCUUUGUAAAUUAUUAUUUUUUCCUUGUAAAAUUGGAGUUUUACGAAAUCAAAUCUCAAUUUCAAAAUUUAAAA